rnacentral:rRNA from 1 species
GAUGAACGCUGGCGGCGUGCCUAAUACAUGCAAGUCGAGCGAACAGACGAGGAGCUUGCUCCUCUGACGUUAGCGGCGGACGGGUGAGUAACACGUGGAUAACCUACCUAUAAGACUGGGAUAACUUCGGGAAACCGGAGCUAAUACCGGAAAUUUAUUUAACCGCAUUGUUCCAUAGUGAAAGACGGUUUUGCUGUCACUUAUAGAUGGAUCCGCGCCGCAUUAGCUAGUUGGUAAGGUAACGGCUUACCAAGGCAACGAUGCGUAGCCGACCUGAGAGGGUGAUCGGCCACACUGGAACUGAGACACGGUCCAGACUCCUACGGGAGGCAGCAGUAGGGAAUCUUCCGCAAUGGGCGAAAGCCUGACGGAGCAACGCCGCGUGAGUGAUGAAGGUCUUCGGAUCGUAAAACUCUGUUAUUAGGGAAGAACAAAUGUGUAAGUAACUAUGCACGUCUUGACGGUACCUAAUCAGAAAGCCACGGCUAACUACGUG